rnacentral:lncRNA from 1 species
UGACAUGACAUACCGCCCCUGGUCGACAUCUACCAUAACACUACCAAAUGGAAUAUAAAUUCGAACCCAUUCUGCAUAUAGCUGACGACAAUUGACAAACAGCCGAAAAACGACGGUGUAAGGGCGAUCAAGCGUGUUAACGGCGAUUGAGGAGUGAAGGGGACUGGGCCUUUUCCUUCUUCCUUUGGAACCAUCAAACUCCUAUUGAUUCCACGGCAUUGGUGACUGGUGAGCGUGUCCUGCGCGUUGUAUUUGAUUCGAAUUAUAUGAAAUAGUAUAUCUGAAAUAAAUUGCGUGGAUCCAUGAUUACUUGUCUAAAGCCCAUUGUCUUGUCUGCUUAUCUAAAGAGAGAGAGCUCGACAACCCCAUUGGGAGUCUCCUUAAGUCUAAUUUUUCUCUUGUUUCUUGAUGAGGGACUAGGAAAACACGUGAAGAGAUGAAUGGCUAAAACCAAGUUCUAAUGAUUCUGGUAUUUCUUUAACUUCUAGAUGUUACUAGUACAUAUUAUGAGGCUAUUUGGGCUUGCUUCCCCGGUGUUUUGCUUCUACUGUAAUUUGAUGAUGGUUGAUGUUUCUUGUUGUCUGCGAAAGGACUUCUUGAAGCAUGAUAAAUUUUUUUUUUUUAAAUCACAUUGCUUUUAAUUCUUGUCAGAUUUUGGAUUUCUUGUACUGUGAUUGUAUUAUCUACUAUUGUCUCAUUUCUUUUUUGAUGCAAUCUAGAUGAUAAUUUUGGUUAAUUCCCAUGUGAUUGAUUGCUCUACCCUUCCCCCACCCAAAAUAGAAAAUGAUUGUGAUGAUUGUUCAGUUGGACUUAAGGCAGUGAUGCAUACUUCCUGUCCACAAAAUUGCAGGUCCGGCCAAAUGAUCUGCGCUUUUGUAGCCGACAAAUAGAGCAAAUUGAACUUAGCGCUGAGUGAUUAAAACGAGCUGAUUCUGAAAUUCGCUUUUUUCCCAAAGGGCAAUUUCGGCUAAAUUUUACAAUCUAAAGAUGAUCUGAGAUGAUCAGGAAUUUGAAGAGGAUCCAGACCAAGAUUUAGAGGAUCAUUUGAGUGCAUAGACAACAUUCAAGCGUAACCACAAAAAACUAAUUACAAAAAUGAGUCAAUCAGCUCCUCCAUAUAUGCACAGAGCUU